rnacentral:pre_miRNA from 1 species
CUUGUACUCCCUCCGUUCGAAAAUACUUGUCAUUGAAAUGGAUGUAUCUAGAUGUAUUUUAGUUCUAGACACAUCCAUUUUGAUGACAAGUAAUUUCGGGCGGAGGGAGUACUUG